AAUCAUGGGAUGAGCGAGCUUGUCUACCUCAAUGUGAUAACAUGGGCAUCCUUGUUGUGAAGAAAAUCAGAAAUUCAGAAAAUCAGGAACAGUUGUUGGUUCAUGGUUUAGAGGCUUAGUGCUGAUUGUUCGGAUGAACAAUGUGAAGUCUAUUGUUUGCGCGCGCCGGCGCGUGUGUGCGUGGGUGAUGCUGAACUGGCCUUAUCUUGAGGAAGGGCGACAAUUGACUAGGGUGCAGCAGCAGAGAUUCCACCAGGAGAAGUGCCUCAGGGCCUCAGUCCCAUGUUCUCUUGGGUUGUGAUUUGUUCUUGUUAUGUGCAACUUGUCUUGCUGUUUGAGCCACUCCAAUGAAAUUGGUCUUUUAGCCUUGGAUUCGAGUAUACAUUGAAACCAUAAGAUAGUUUAUUGGUUGGGUUUCAACACGACAUCCCAGGUUCGUAUCGUGGAGAUGUCCUGUGAGUAGAUGUCUAUCCACACGAGGAUUUGCGCAGAGCUGGACUAUAUCAAUGUCCAAAUGAGCAAGGUUCUUGAUAAAAAUUCUUUAUCCACUGAAUCCACUGAAUGUGGUUGUGUAGACUCCUUUCACUUCAUGUACACUUAGCAGUGCCAAUGAAAAAGAAGCACUCAGUUUCUUGUCAA